UCUGAUGGGUUAAAUAAGCAGACUGUUAAUUGGUUGUGUUUGUUAGAUUCUGCUCAUGCAGCCUGGUUGCACCAAACUGAACUCUGCUCUUCAGGAGAUACAGUGGUGAGUUCAGCCAGGUUUCACUAGGCUAUCUUAUCCUUCACUUGGCAGACAUCUGAAUAUUUUUUUUUAACUAGGCAAGUCAGUUAAGAACAAAUUCUUAUUUUCAAUGACGGCCUAGGAACAGUUUUUUUCAGGGGCAGAAUGACAGAUUUUUACCUUGUCAGCUCGGAGGAUGCGAUCCAGCAACCAUUCGGUUACUGGCCCAACGCUCUAACCACUAGGCUACCUGCUGCCCCUGAUUUACAGCUGGUCCUCCUGCAGCUGCCAAACCCCGGGGGAGAGUAAGUCACUGUGUGUGUAGGGCUAUGGUCUAAAGUAGUGCACUAGGUAGGGAAUAGGGUGGUUAUGGGCUCUGGUCUAAAGUAGUGCACUAUGUAGGGAAUAGGGUGGUUAUGGGUUCUGGUCUAAAGUAGUGCACUAUGUGAGAAUAGGGUGGUUAUGGGCCCUGGUCUAAAGUAGUGCACUAGGUAGGGAAUAGGGUGGUUAUGGGCACUGGUCUAAAGUAGUGCACUAGGUAGGGAAUAGGGUGGUUAUGGGCUCUGGUCUAAAGUAGUGCACUAGGUAGGGAAUAGGGUGGUUAUGGGCUCUGGUCUAAAGUAGUGCACUAUGUAGGGAAUAGAAUGGUUAUGGGCACUGGUCUAAGGUAGUGCACUAGGUAGGGAAUAGGGUGGUUAUGGGCUCUGGUCUAAAGUAGUGCACUAUGUAGGGAAUAGGGUGGUUAUGGGCACUGGUCUAAAGUAGUGCACUAUGUAGGGAAUAGGGUGGUUAAGGGCUCUGGUCUAAAGUAGUGCACUAUGUAGGGAAUAUGGUGGUUAUGGGACUUGGUAUAAAAUAGUGCACUAGGUAGGGAAUAGGGUGGUUAUGGGCCCUGGUCUAAAGUAGUGCACUAGGUAGGGAAUAGGGUGGUUAUGGGGCCUGGUCUAAAGUAGUGCACUAGGUAGGGAAUAGGGUGGUUAUGGUCCUGGUCUAAAGUAGUGCACUAGGUAGGGAGUAGGGAAUAGGGUUCCAUUUGAGACACGGACUUGAUUUAUUAUCAAUUCUGCUGCAAGAAGAAUAUACAGGAGCUUUAAUUCCCAUGGACAAGUGAGCUGAUAUUACUUACAGUGCUGUUGACGUAGGAAAGGCACUAUGGUAUACAGUUGAAGUCGGAAGUUUACAUACAUCUUAACCAAUUCCUGACAUUUAAUCCUAGUACAAAUUCCCUGUUUUAGGUCAGUUAGGAUCACCACUUUAUUUUAAGAAAGUGAAAUGUCAGAAUAAUAGUAGAGAGAAUUAUUUAUUUCAGCUUUUAUUUCUUUCAUCACAUUCCCAGUGGGUCAGAAGUUUACAUACACUCAAUUAACAUUUGGUAGCAUUGUCUUUAAAUUGUUUAACUUGGGUCAAACGUUUCGGGUAGCCUUCCACGAGCUUCUCACAAUAGUUGGGUGAAUUUUGGCCCAUUCCUCCUGACAGAGCUGGUUUAACUGAGUCAGGUUUGUAGGCCUCCUUGCUCGCACACGCUUUUUCAGUUCUGCCCACACAUUUUCUACAGGAUUGAGGUCCGGGCUUUGUGAUGGCCACUCCAAUACCUUGACUUUGUUGUCCUUAAGCCAUUUUGCCACAACUUUGGAAGUAUGCUUGGGGUCAUUGUCCAUUUGGAAGACCCAUUUGUGACCAAGCUUUAACUUCCUGACUGAUGUCUUGAGAUGUUGCUUCAAUAUAUCCACAUCAUUUUCCUACCUCUUGAUGCUAUCUAUUUUGUGAAGUGCACCAGUCCCUCCUGCAGCAAAGCACCCUCACAACAUGAUGCUGCCACCCUCGUGCUUCACGGUUGGGAUGGUGUUCUUCGGCUUGCAAGACUCCCCCUUUUUCCUCCAAACAUAACGAUGGUCAUCAUGGCCAAACAGUUCUAUUUUUGUUUCAUCAGACCAGAGAACAAAAAGUACAAUCUUUGUCACCAUGUGCAGUUGCAAACUGUAGUCUGGCUUUUUUAUGGCGGUUUUGGAGCAGUGGCUUCUUCCUUGCUGAGCGGCCUUUCAGGUUAUGUCGAUAUAGGACUCGUUGUACUGUGGAUAUAGAUACUUUUGUACCUGUUUCCUCCAGCAUCUUCACAAGGUCCUUUGCUGUUGUUCUGGGAUUGAUUUGCACUUUCCGUACCAAAGUAAGCUCAUCUCUAGGAGACAGAACACGUCUCCUUCCUGAGCGGUAUGACGGCUGCGUGGUCCCAUGGUGUUUAUACUUGCGUACUAUUGUUUGUACAGAUGAACGUGGUACCUUCAGGCGUUCGGAAAUUGCUCCCAAGGAUGAACCAGACUUGUGGAGGUCUACAAUAGUUUUUCUGAGGUCUUGGCUGAUUUCUUUUGAUUUUCCCAUGACGUCAAGCAAAGAGGCACUGAGUUUGAAGGUAGGCUUUGAAAUACAUCCACAGGUACACCUCCAAUUGACUCAAAUGAUGUCAAUUAGACAAUCAGAAGCUUCUAAAGCAAUGACAUCAUUUUUUGGAAUUUUCCAUGCUGUUUGAAGGCACAGUCAACUUAGUGUAUGUAAACAUCUGACUGGAAUUGUGAUACAGUGAAUUAUAAGUGAAAUAAUCUGUCUGUAAACAAUUGUUGGAAAAAUUACUUGUGUCAUGCACAAUGUAGAUGUCCUAACCGACUUGUCAAAACUAUAGUUUGUUAACAAGAAAUGUGUGGAGUGGUUGAAAACGAGUUUUAAUGACUCCAACCUAAGUGUAUGUAAACUUCCGACUUCAACUGUACUGUACUGUGCUAUAUAAAGAACAGCCUGUCCUCUCUGAAAGGUACUGUGGUAUAUAAAGAACAGCCUGUCCUCUCUGAAAGGUACUGUGGUAUAUAAAGAACAGCCUGUCCUCUCUGAAAGGUACUGUGGUAUAUAAAGAACAGCCUGUCCUCUCUGAAAGGUACUGUGGUAUAUAAAGAACAGCCUGUCCUCUCUGAAAGGUACUGUGGUAUAUAAAGAACAGCCUGUCCUCUCUGAAAGGUACUGUGGUAUAUAAAGAACAGCCUGUCCUCUCUGAAAGGUACUGUGGUAUAUAAAGAACAGUUUGGCCUCUCUGAAAGGUACAAUGGUACAAGUGCUUUUCUUUUUCCAUCUAAUGGACAACACAUUCAGAGGCUCUUCAGUUUGCAGAUAGAGCCAGACCCUGACAGAGCCAUUCUAUUCCACAUAUAACUAACCAGACCCUGACAGAGCCAUUCUAUUCCACAUAUAACUAACCAGACCCUGACAGAGCCUUCCUAUUCCUCAAAU
rnacentral:lncRNA from 1 species